GACGAAGGGGGCUAGCGUUGUUCGGAAUUACUGGGCGUAAAGGGCGCGCAGGCGGUCUUGCAAGUCGGGCGUAAAGACCUGGGCUUAACCCGGGGAAUACGCUCGAUACUGCAAGGCUUGAGAUCGAGAGAGGAGAGUGGAAUUCCCAGUGUAGAGGUGAAAUUCGUAGAUAUUGGGAAGAACACCGGUGGCGAAGGCGGCUCUCUGGCUCGAUUCUGACGCUGAGGCGCGAAAGCGUGGGGAGCAACAGG
rnacentral:rRNA from 1 species